rnacentral:tRNA from 2 species
CCGCCGGUAGCUCAUCAGGGAAGAGCAGUAGUUUAUGCUACAGGUGCGGGGUUGAAGUCCUCGUCGGCGGUCCA